rnacentral:rRNA from 1 species
GGUGAACGCUGGCGGCGUGCUUAAGACAUGCAAGUCGAACGAACGUCUUCGGACGGUAGUGGCGCACGGGUGAGUAACGCGUAACUGACCUGCCCCCAAGUUCCGAAUAACACUCCGAAAGGAGGGCUAAUACGGGAUGUGCUGUCCCCUCUUGUGGGGCCAGUAACGGCUUGACCGCUUGGGGGUGGGGUUGCGUUCCAUCAGCUAGUUGGUGGGGUAAAGGCCUACCAUGGCAACGACGGAUAACCGGCCGGAGAGAGUGGCCGGUCACAGGGGCACUGAGACACAGGGCCGACACCUACGGGAGGCAGCAGGUAGGGAGCGACACCAAUGGACGAAAGUCUGAGGGAGCGGCGCCGCGUGAUGGAUGAGGGUUUUCGUGUCGUAAGCCUCGAAAUCAGGUACGAAAGACGCGGAAGCUGGAUGACGGUACCUGAGUAAUAGCACCGGCUAACUCCGUG